rnacentral:ncRNA from 2 species
GGAUGUUUGGCGGGUCGAGGUUCUCCGUGCAUGCGGAUGCGCGGAGCUAAGACGGGAAGCCGGUGCGCGCCUUGACGGGCGCAAUGCCGGCGCUGCCCCCGCAACUGUAAGCGGCGAGCGGCGGCCAUCGAGUGUCACUGACGGUGCGAGCCGUCGGGAAGGCCAGGCCGACGUGACGACCCGCGAGCCAGGAGACCUGCCUCCGACGCGAUAACGUC